rnacentral:lncRNA from 1 species
GGCCGCGCCUCACGCGGGCCGCGGCGGGACGGGCGUUGCGGCCAACGGGACGCAAGGGCUGAGCAGCGAGCUCGCCGCUUUGCUCUUGCAAAAUGUAGGGUCACAGCCCCCGAAAGAGCCGAGGGCCGCUCCCCGCUCUGUGGCCCGAGUUCAAUUCUUAAGUCCUAAUCUUGGUGGCCAGGCUGGUCUUCACGUUGCCGUCAACAGGAGUCGGGAGUACACAGACGUGACUGCAACACAGAAGUAUCUUUUCAAGUCCCAGAAGAAAGAAUCCUCCUGUGGUAGCACCGAGGAAUGUCAUGGUGUGGUUCACAGCUUAUCUUCACAGACAGUUUUGUUGACCCAAAUGAGGGAGUGAGGCAUGUGAAUGAAUAAGAAGUCUUAAGCUAAUAGCACCUUUUCUCCACAGUGCAAUCUGUAGGUUUUUGUUUAAAGUGAAUUAAUUGUUUAAAGUGGAAUGGGG